rnacentral:rRNA from 1 species
UGAGGAAUAUUGGUCAAUGGGCGAGAGCCUGAACCAGCCAAGUCGCGUGAAGGAAGACUGCCCGCAAGGGUUGUAAACUUCUUUUGUAUGGGAUUAAAGUCACCUACGUGUAGGUGUUUGCAGUUACCAUACGAAUAAGCAUCGGCUAACUCCGUGCCAGCAGCCGCGGUAAUACGGAGGAUGCGAGCGUUAUCCGGAAUUAUUGGGUUUAAAGGGCAUCUAGGCGGUAAGACAAGUUGAAGGUGAAAACCUGUGGCUCAACCAUAGGCUUGCCUACAAAACUGUUGAACUAGAGUACUGGAAAGGUGGGUGGAACUACACGAGUAGAGGUGAAAUUCGUAGAUAUGUGUAGGAAUGCCGAUGAUGAAGAUAACUCACUGGACAGAAACUGACGCUGAAGUGCGAAAGCUAGGGGAGCAAACAGG